rnacentral:misc_RNA from 1 species
UCCGGUUUGGCACCGGCUGUCCUCCGUUGUCUAGCCCGGGUAAGGUUCUUCGCGUUGCGUCGAAUUGAACCACAUGCUCCACCGCUUGUGCGGGCCCCCGUCAAUUCCUUUGAGUUUUAACCUUGCGGCCGUAGUCCCCAGGCGGGGCACUUAAUGCGUUAGCUGCGGCACCGCAGGGGUCAAUACCCGCGACACCUAGUGCCCAUCGUUUACAGCGUGGACUAC